ACUGUCACAAUUAAUUUUUACCAACAUUCUCUCUCCCUCCCUCUCCCUCUCCCUCUAUGUCCCUCUCUCUCUCUCCCUCCCUCCCUCUACCUCUCCCUCUCUCACUCUCUCUCCCCCUUUCUCUCUCUUUUUAAAAAUUUUUCCAGCAAGGUAAUGAGUUCUCCAAUAAGAUUUAUGAUUUCUAAGCUUGAGAAUUUGAUUUUUUUUAAUUUUUCUUGCAUUUCCUUUCAUUUUUGAGUAUUUUUCAAGGUUAAGUGAGAAAGCAUUGAUCUACGUUUUUUAGCUAGAUUCUUGUCAAAUUUGAGUUUAGAAUUUGUGGGAAACUUGAAUUUGUAGUUUCUUUAUAUAUUUGAAGGAGUUCUUUAUAACUGUCAUUGUUGAAAGCUUGGAAAGUUCUAGUAAGAGAGUGUAAGAGUUUGAAUUGCUAAUGGUUUUUCAGUGUUUAGGAGUUGCUAAAUUAAACUUCAUUGUGAAGUUAGUUUUUGUUUUUCGAUGGGUUAGAUUAGAGUUCUCUUGAAUUGUCGGAAAAAAAAUGAGAAAGAGUUACAUUUUUUCGAAUUGCAUCCCAUUGAUGGUUUUAGGUGGAUUUAAUGACAUAUGAUAAUAAUUGAUGAUGCUUGAUGUUUUUGAGACAUGUUUUAUGAAAUAAAUGUCCUAUUAAAUAGUGUUGGAAAUAGUUUUGGUAUAGUUGGCAUGCCAUAGGGUUUGUUUGUAAUGGAUGAAUAUUUGGCACUUGUGUCCAUUUUAUUGGUGAUUGUAUGCAUUUAUAUUUGGAAAUUUUUUGCAUUUUUAAAGGGCUAGGGGAAGUCAUUUUUUUUACAUGUAUUGGGACAUUUUCGCUCGUUUGGUGUUUGUGUGCAUCUAUGUGAAGUGUUAAGGGAUUAAUCUAUGUUUCCAUUCUUGAUCCAUAAUUGGUUAACAGAGGCAUAAACUUAAUUAUGAUUCAAUAUGAUAAUGAUGGAGAUGAUUUGAAAUUUGUGAUGAUUAUGAUUAUGGAAAUAUGUUAUCCUAGGUUUAGAGGCAAUGUCAAGUAUGACUUGGAUAUGUUAUGCGACUUAAAUUAUGUUACUAGAAAUGUGGUAAAAAAACUAAUUUAAUUCUACAUUUUUUAUAUGAAACAUGUUUAAUUGAUGAUCUUUUGAUGUGUUAGCAUGCUUUAUUGCUUAAUGGUUUUAUAUUAUGGGAUUGGCAUUUUGUUAACACCGAUAAUCUUUAAAACCUCUGCGUAUGGAUUGUUUGUUCUGUGUGCAGGUAUUGGAAGUGUGUACAAGUCUUGAUUCGAUCUUUCACAACAUCUAAGGCCUCAAGUCAUAGCUACACACUUGUUAAUAUUUGUAAUUCAUCGAUUUUGAACUUAAUUUUGGGCAUGUACCUAGGUCACUGGGCGAAUUCUUUUGUCUUGAGUAUAUUUUCAUAAGGAUUUGGUAUGUUGAGUAUAUUUGGCAAGUUUUAACUUAUUUUGGGACUUUGAAAUACUUUUGAUUUGGAUUUGUGAUGCAAUUUCCUAAGUUGAAUGUAUGGUUUAUGUUAGAAAUUGUGUAACCCAAAUUCCUGUUAAAAUAAAAUACAAUAGGCAAGAUGGGGGAUCUAUGAGAGCAAAGGUUGUAGCCCAUCGUAGAUCCAUAAUAAGCAAAAUAUUGGACUAGGGUUGUAACUGGGGGUGCAGGGGCCUCUCGGCCUCACAGUACGA
rnacentral:lncRNA from 1 species